CACGUAGUUGGCCGGCGCUUCUUCUGCAGGUACCGUCACUCACGCUUCGUCCCUGCUGAAAGAGGUUUACAACCCGAAGGCCGUCAUCCCUCACGCGGCGUCGCUGCAUCAGGCUUCCGCCCAUUGUGCAAUAUUCCCCACUGCUGCCUCCCGUAGGAGUCUGGGCCGUGUCUCAGUCCCAGUGUGGCCGGUCGCCCUCUCAGGCCGGCUACCCGUCGUCGCCUUGGUAGGCCAUCACCCCACCAACAAGCUGAUAGGCCGCGAGUCCAUCCCAAACCGAAAAAUCUUUCCACAAACACACCAUGCGGUGGAAUGUCGUAUCCGGUAUUAGCCCCCGUUUCCGAGGGUUAUCCCAAAGAUUGGGGCAGGUUACUCACGUGUUACUCACCCGUUCGCCGCUCGAGUACCCCGAAGGGCCUUUCCGCUCGACUUGCAUGUGUUAAGCACGCCGCCAGCGUUCGUCCUGAGCCAGGAUCAAACUCU
rnacentral:rRNA from 1 species